GCUGCUCAGGUUAUUUCAGAGGAAAGAUGAAGAACAAGAAGAUACAGAUGGAAACGAAAGGAUGCAAACCUGUCUUGGUGUUAAAAAGGAAGAAAGAAAUUGUCCUGAAGAAGGCAGAGUGGGUCCUGGGCAGUUUGGGGGAGGUUCCUGGAGCAUGCAGGCUUGAGCCGGACCAUCCAGGACUAGCACUUAUAUCUGGAGCCUAGGAUUUCCUAAAUGGCAGACCCAGCAUCAAGAACUUCUGAUGAUUAGUUUGGCAGAGAGCCAGGAACUGCCAAAUCUGCAGCUGCUUUGCUGGGAACUCUUUAAUUUCAUUCUUAGUGAAAUGGAGACAAGCAAUGCCUCUAGAUGCUAGAGUCUGCUGGGAAGGCAUGAUCCCAACCCUCCACCAUCACUGAGCAGGAAGAGAGCAUGAAGAGGUUGGAGAACCUGAUAAUUGAUCUCCAGAAGAUGAUCUGUGAGAGGGAUGAACUUCAGUCCUAACCCAUUACACCAAAAAGGAUUUGAACCACAGAGUGAAGACAACCCAUUUUGGCUGCCGG